rnacentral:rRNA from 1 species
CAGCCGCCACGGUAAUACGUAGGUGGCAAGCGUUGUCCGGAAUUAUUGGGCGUAAAGGGCUCGCAGGCGGUUUCUUAAGUCUGAUGUGAAAGCCCCCGGCUCAACCGGGGAGGGUCAUUGGAAACUGGGAAACUUGAGUGCAGAAGAGGAGAGUGGAAUUCCACGUGUAGCGGUGAAAUGCGUAGAGAUUAGGAGGAACACCAGUGGCGAAGGCGGCUUUUUGGCCUGUAACUGACACUGAGGCGCGAAAGCGUGGGGAGCAAACAGGAUUAGAUACCCGCGUAGUCCCUGUCUCUUAUAC